GGGGAUGUCUUGGAUUCGACAGGUUUAUGUUUGACUUAGAUUGCAGUGGUUGGUCACCUAAAACCAAAUAAAAAUAACUGGAAACAGAUUAAGUUUCGCUGCUUAAUUAGCCAAUAGAGGCUUGCAGCCCCCAAACCGAUUGUGCCUAUACAAAAGGUAAGGUGUACAUUUAUAUAGGAUAAGGAAAACUAAUUGUCUAGUUAGUGACACGAAAAUAUCAUAGACAAAUUCAAUAGCGGUUGGCUUUUGACCAUUCUAUUGUCUUACUUAACGAAAAGCUAAACUGUAGACGUCUAAGUGUGGGACUAUUCUUGGACAGGGGUUCGAUACCCCUCAUCUCCACCA
rnacentral:tmRNA from 1 species